rnacentral:rRNA from 1 species
GACGAACGCUGGCGGCGUGCUUAACACAUGCAAGUCGAACGGAAAGGCCCUGCUUUUGUGGGGUGCUCGAGUGGCGAACGGGUGAGUAACACGUGAGUAACCUGCCCUUGACUUUGGGAUAACUUCAGGAAACUGGGGCUAAUACCGGAUAGGAGCUCCUGCUGCAUGGUGGGGGUUGGAAAGUUUCGGCGGUGGGGGAUGGACUCGCGGCUUAUCAGCUUGUUGGUGGGGUAGUGGCUUACCAAGGCUUUGACGGGUAGCCGGCCUGGGAGGGUGACCGGCCACAUUGGGACUGAGAUACGGCCCAGACUCCUACGGGAGGCAGCAGUGGGGAAUAUUGCACAAUGGGCGGAAGCCUGAUGCAGCAACGCCGCGUGCGGGAUGACGGCCUUCGGGUUGUAAACCGCUUUCGCCUGUGACGAAGCGUGAGUGACGGUAAUGGGUAAAGAAGCACCGGCUAACUACGUG